UCAGGGUGUUGACCAGAGGAAGUCAUUGUCUGAUUAUGCUCAUAGGUUUACUCUGACUGCUGAGCUGAGUGAACACAGAAAGAGGAACGAGUCAAGGACGGGCUCCCAGUUAGGAGGCGGUUGUGAUCAUACUGGUGAGGCAUGUUAUGACUUGGCCCAGACUGGAAAUGGUGGAGGAGGUGCGUGAGUUUACCUGGGGAGAGCCCCGAUCUUCUCUUUUUGCACCCUGACCAACAGAAAUUAUGCUCCGGUGAUAAUCCCUGGUUGCCUACGCUUCGCACACCGAUCAAGCCUUCAGAGAGCCUUGCAGUAGCUGGGGACCGGAGGUCUUGGGACUCGAAUGAAACAUCUUAAAAUCUUGGUCUAAAGUAACCUCUCAAAAAAUGAAAAAAAGAAAAGAGUCUGUAGCGAAAGGAGUUGACUUGAUCUUGUUUUCUUGUACAUCAUUUGAAAAUGAGGGGCUCCACACCAAAAUAUUCUAGUGGCCUGAAGCAGACAGAAUCAAGAUGUCUCCCUCCCUGUCUUUCUGGAAGACCUGGAUAUCAUUCAUCACCGGGUACCUGACUGUCAUAACGUCCUACCGCCGGGAAAGAAAGGCAGAAGUCAGAGGGGCUGAGUGGGAGCCAGACAAAGGAGCAAUUACCCCCACAUGACUGCCUACUAAGAAUUCUGGCUGGAGAAAAGGCUUUUCUGCAGUCUGUUUUUGCAGAUUCUGCUCCGGGAACCCAAGAGCCUUUCACAUAGGAAGAUUCCAGAGUGUCGCCCAAAUGAAUGUGCCACGCUGUUGGCAAGGAGCAUGCCACUGCAAAAGGGAUUAGACUGGAACCUACCUUUGGAAGGCGUGUUGGGAGAGACAGUCCCAUUGAUGCUACCUAAAAUUCUGGGGAAAUGUCUUCAGCAAUUUUUCAGUGUGAUGCAGAUACGAGAGCUUUUCUCACGCUGUUGGGAAGGUCAGGGAAAGUGAAAUGACCCAGUGGGCCAGGUUAGCACUGGCCUAGCUAGAAACUUGGCCAGUGGACUGAACUGAAGAGCCAGCAGGGUUUAAGGGCAAGGUGCGGUCUGGAAGGCGGGGCUGAGGCUGGGGUGCAAAGUCCCAGGUGCUGCGGAUUGGUAGUGGGUGGGGACUUUACUAGGAUUGUGCGGAUGGGGUUGUUCACUGUAUGGAAUCUGGACCAGAGAUGGAAACUUGGCUGGUGUUUGAGAAGCACAUGAGCAAGAAGCUGGGCCUAGAACUGUAGCUUAUUCCCUUAAGUCUUAUUUAUCAACAGGAAUCUUCUUUUCAUAGUCUCCCUUCCUCUGGUCCAGCAUCUCCCAGAAUUUAAUGUCAAAGUAACACAAAGAAACUGUAUGUGGAGGAUACUUAUUUGGAUACAGCAAAUUCUGUGUAAUUAUCCUUAAA